GUUUAGACCGUCGUGAGACAGGUUAGUUUUACCCUACUGACGACCAUAGAAGAAAUGUUGUUGCGAUAGUAAUCCUGCGAAGUACGAGAGGAACCGCAGGUUCGGACAGUUGGUUGGCGCACUUGGUCGAGCGGCCAGUGGUGCGAGGCUACGUCCGGAUGAUUAUACCUGAAGGCCUCUGAAGGUAGAAUCGAUGCUGGAGGAAGGCAACGAUACGCAGCGUCUUUUGACUCGUUUCGACGUUUUAUCUGGGUGGCUAUAACGAGACCCGUCUCGGUUAGAGAUUAAAACUCGCUCCAUCAGCGAGGGGGUUCCGGCCUUUUCGUUUCGUUUCGGACGAAUGCCUGGUCGGCGCUUCAUUCUCGAGCCGCGGUUUUCAAAGAGGUUGGUUCGCCGUCGGCUAUGCUGGGUGUCCGCUACGGGAGUGCCAGUCACGCACCGGCUCGCUACCUCUCUUUACCCGACUAAAG
rnacentral:rRNA from 1 species